GCCAGGCAUAGUGGUGCGUGCCUGUAGUCCCAGCUACUUGGGAGGCUGAGAUGGGAGGAUAGCUUGAGCCCAGGAGUUCAAGGCUGCAGUGAGCUGUGAUGGUGCCACUGCACUCCAGUCUGGGCAACAGAGCAAGACCCUGUCUCAA
ensembl:misc_RNA Metazoa_SRP Metazoan signal recognition particle RNA